UACAGAGGCCUCAAGCGUUGUUCGGAAUUACUGGGCGUAAAGGGAAUGUAGGUGGUGGAGCAAGUCAGAUGUGAAAGCCCUGGGCUUAACCCGGGAACUGCGUUUGAUACUGCUUUGCUAGAGUUCAGGAGAGGUAAGUGGAAUUCCCGGUGUAGGGGUGAAAUCCGUAGAUAUCGGGAGGAAUACCAAUGGCGAAGGCAACUUACUGGCCUGACACUGACACUGAGAUUCGAAAGCAUGGGUAGCAAACAGG
rnacentral:rRNA from 1 species